UGCCGCGUGAGUGAUGAAGGCCCUAGGGUCGUAAAGCUCUUUCGCCUGUGAAGAUAAUGACGGUAGCAGGUAAAGAAACCCCGGCUAACUCCGUGCCAGCAGCCGCGGUAAUACGGAGGGGGUUAGCGUUGUUCGGAAUUACUGGGCGUAAAGCGCGCGUAGGCGGAUUAUUAAGUCAGAGGUGAAAUCCCAGGGCUCAACCCUGGAACUGCCUUUGAUACUGCUAGUCUUGAGUUCGAGAAGGUGAGUGGAAUUCCGAGUGUAGAGGUGAAAUUCGUAGAUAUUCGGAGGAACACCAGUGGCGAAGGCGGCUUACUGGCUCGAUACUGACGCUGAGGUGCGAAAGUGUGGGGAGCAAACAGGAUUAGAUACCCUGGUAGUCCACACCGUAAACGAUG
rnacentral:rRNA from 1 species